rnacentral:rRNA from 1 species
UACGUAGGGGGCUAGCGUUGUCCGGAUUUAUUGGGCGUAAAGAGCGUGUAGGAGGCCAGGUAGGUCUGCUGUGAAAACUCGAGGCUCAACCUCGAGACGUCGGCGGAAACCAUCUGGCUAGAGUCCGGAAGAGGAGAGUGGAAUUCCCGGUGUAGAGGUGAAAUUCGUAGAUAUCGGGAGGAACACCGGUGGCGAAGGCGGCGACCUGGGUAGAUACUGACGCUGAGGUGCGAAAGCGUGGGGAGCAAACAGG